CAGAAUAGCCCUGGCAGUUCCAGUGAGUCAUGAACUUGAGGAGGUCUGGCUCUAAUCUGAUCAUCAGUGUGUGCAGACCACACUGGGACAGCAGGCGACGGGAGCAGUAGAGCCGAAUAAACAUUUCUCCUCUCAAUCUUCCUCUCCGUGGGCUCUCUGCGCAGCCAUUCUCCCUGGACAGCUUGCUAUAAGAAAGAAAGGCUUUAGAAGCCUUAUCUCGCCUCACUCACUAACAUGGAGCCUGAAACGGCUUAAUCUUCAGCUGGCUCAUGAGAAACAAGCAGGGAAUCUGGACUCCCACCCCACAUGAAGAAGAAGAUUCCAUUCUGAGAACUGCUGUUCCUUCCUCCUCCGCCCCACACGUUGGUUUGUACCGCUGUGUUUGUGCUG
rnacentral:lncRNA from 1 species